rfam:Eimeria mitis, Houghton, WGS project CBTT01000000 data, contig: Emh_contig1812_6
GCGGCGAUAGCUCAGUUGGGAGAGCGUUAGACUGAAGAUCUAAAGGUCCCUGGUUCGAUCCCGGGUCGCCGCG